AGAAGCAAUAUUGUUGGGAUGCCUAGGAUUUCAAAAUCUGACUUCAUAUUAAGCAUAAAACAUGUAUUAAAACACAUAUUAUAAGUCAAGAAGAACACAUCUUUCAGUUUUUGAGACGUAUUUAAAAUACUGCGCAGAUAAAGAUUUGGAUUUGGCUUGCUUGAUGCUGGACGAUUAAUGAAGGAAGCCCUAACUGGACAAAUGUUGGUCUCCUGAGACAAUGUGUUGUUGAUAACAGGAAAAGAUUGACAAUAAGAGGUGGAUGUUCAUCUUUAAUGAACUCUAGUUACCAAAGUGGAAACCGGCUAACUUUGAUGGUGCAACUGACCACCUUCUCAGCAACAGCUGAGUAUUUACUCCGUCUU